UACGAAGGGGGCUAGCGUUGUUCGGAUUUACUGGGCGUAAAGCGCACGUAGGCGGCUCGUUAAGUCGGGGGUGAAAUCCUGGAGCUCAACUCCAGAACUGCCUUCGAUACUGGCGAUCUUGAGUCCGGAAGAGGUGAGUGGAACUCCUAGUGUAGAGGUGGAAUUCGUAGAUAUUAGGAAGAACACCAGUGGCGAAGGCGGCUCACUGGUCCGGUACUGACGCUGAGGUGCGAAAGCGUGGGGAGCAAACAGG
rnacentral:rRNA from 1 species